AACCCCCAGCUUGGAAAAAAAAAAAAAAAAAAAAAAUCUGUUCAGUAUAAAUGUGGAAAAAUGUGUUUACAAAAAAAAAGGAAAAAUUCCUUUAAGGAGUUACGUGCAUCAUACCCCUUUGGUAGACUGUAUGCAUAGCAGUCCAAUGAGCAAGAGAAUCAUCAGUCCAAAAAAAAAAAAAUCAAGAAGUAGUGGGCUUAAACUGAAGCAGGGAAUAGUUAGGUAAGACAGAGGAGGAAAAAAAAAAAAAAAAAAAGGCAAAAAAAAAGCACAGCACUGCUGGAAUAGCUUGCUGAGAACCUUGUGGAGUUGCCACCAGACUUUCCAUAAAGAUAAAUCUGUGACUGAUAACAAGAUGCAGUAGACGGCCCCACCAGUCUCUACCAACACUAGUCAAUGGCCUUGUGACUCAGCUGGCUAUGAUCCAAUGGCUGUUUUGAUGUUGCAUGGCUGUAUGAACUUAACUCCGUUGUGCUAGCAAAAUUACUCCUGAGCUGUGAAAAGUACACAAGUUAAAGCCAUGCUAGAUAAGAAAAGUGAAAAUAUAGUUCAAAUGAUGUUAUUGUGAUGAUAAUAGUUAGGAGCUCAAGAGUUCAAGACAAAAAAAAAUGAUGACAUGAGAAAAAAUCCUGAGAUAAAAAGCCAAGAUAGGUAAACAGCAACUCAGCAACACCAAGAUCCACUCUGCUCCAAAAAAGUCAAAAAAGUGUGCUUAGCUUACAGAUGUGAUACUCUAAUACUUGUCUGUAUAAGCCAGGAAAUAAUUGGUGUGUAUUUUUUUUACAGCCUGCUUGCAGACUGUCAUUGCCCACCGUAGAGGACAUCUGGACAGAAGCGACCCUGGCAGGGAAGGUUAUACUGCAUAGAGUUCUUGAGGAUGAGUCAGAAAGCAUUGGUGGAGUCAUCAAAUGGCAGACUGGCAGGGGAAGCUGCUGUUAUGUGUGCCCAUACCCACAACAGAAAGCAGUUGAAUUGCCAUCCUAAGGAGGCUGGAAACAGCAUAGCCAGAAUGAAAAUAGCAGCAGCUGUUCUGAAUGUGAUCGGGUCACCAGCAGGAUCCCCAUAAAAAAGACCACAAAAGCAACCAGAGAGGAUUGUUGCAGUACAUCUGUUGCUUUUUAUGGAAAUAAAAACAUUACGCUGAGCUCCCA
rnacentral:lncRNA from 1 species